CAACUACUCCCUCUAUCCCAAAUUUCUUGUCUUAGAUUUAUCUAGAUACGGAUGUAUCUAAUACUAAAAUGUGACUUGAUACAUCCGUAUCUAGACAAAUGUAAGAAAAGAAUUUUGGGACGGAGGGAGUACUUU
rnacentral:pre_miRNA from 1 species